ACCCACCUUUGACAUGUACGGAAUCCUUUAGAGAUAGAGGAGUGCUCGAAAGAGAACCGUUAACACAGGUGCUGCAUGGCUGUCGUCAGCUCGUGUCGUGAGAUGUUGGGUUAAGUCCCGCAACGAGCGCAACCCUUUGUCAUUUAGUUUGCUACAUUCAGUUGGGCACUCUAAUGAGACUGCCGGUGACAAACCGGAGGAAGGUGGGGAUGACGUCAAGUCCUCAUGGCCCUUAUAGGUGGGGCUACACACGUCAUACAGUGGAUGGUACAAAGGGUCGCCAACCCGCGAGGGGGAGCCAAUCCCAUAAAGCCAUUCGUAGUCCGGAUCGCAGUCUGCAACUCGACUGCGUGAAGUCGGAAUCGCUAGUAAUCGUGGAUCAGAAUGUCACGGUGAAUACGUUCCCGGGUCUU
rnacentral:rRNA from 1 species